GCGGUUAUACUUGUUCUCCUACUCAAAGAAAAAAUUUGAAUAAAGCUUAAUAAAUUUGUCUAAUAAAUAAAAGAUGAUAAUAUUUUCAAAAAUGAUCUAAUAAACUGGAUUAGUACCCAGGUAAAAUAAUGAAUUAAGUUAGGUAAUACCUAAAUUAAAUGGCAGUAUUUAGAGAAAGUAGAGAAACUUGAAGUUUAGAAAAUCCACUUUAUUGUUAAUUCUUUAAAAGUUUAAGUAUGGCUGUCCAAAAAUAAGUAAAUACUUAAAUUUGUAGUCAAGCAGCAUUUAAUUUAGAGAAGAUCUUUGAGUUGCAAAAAAUUAAUUUAAUUUAAUUUAUUAAAAUAAGGAAUUUACAAAGUAAAAAAAGAAAUUUUUGAAGGAAAGUCGAAGUACA
rnacentral:rRNA from 1 species